CCCUUAGAUGUCCUGGGCCGCACGCGCGUUACACUGAUGCAUUCAACGAGCUUAUAACCUUGGCCGAGAGGCCUGGGCAAUCUUGUUAACGUGCAUCGUGAUAGGGAUAGAUUAUUGCAAUUAUUAAUCUUGAACGAGGAAUUCCUAGUAAACGCAAAUCAUCAAUUUGCAUUGAUUACGUCCCUGCCCUUUGUACACACCGCCCGUCGCACCUACCGAUUGAAUGGUCCGGUGAAGCCUCGGGAUUGUGGCCAGUUCACUUUAUUGGGAGUUGGCUGCGAGAACUUGUCUAAACCUUAUCAUUUAGAGGAAGGUGAAGUCGUAACA
rnacentral:rRNA from 1 species